CUGUUACAGAGGUCUCCAGCGCCUUCUCUGUCCUGUGCAAAAUGGCAACUCUUAAGGAAAAACUCAUUGCACCAGUUGCGGAAGAAGAGACAACAGUCCCAAACAAUAAGAUCACUGUAGUGGGUGUUGGACAAGUUGGUAUGGCGUGUGCUAUCAGCAUUCUGGGAAAGUCUCUGGCUGAUGAACUUGCUCUUGUGGAUGUUUUAGAAGAUAAGCUUAAAGGAGAAAUGAUGGAUCUGCAGCAUGGGAGUUUAUUUCUUCAGACGCCUAAAAUUGUGGCAGAUAAAGAUUAUUCUGUGACUGCCAAUUCUAAGAUUGUAGUGGUAACUGCAGGAGUCCGUCAGCAAGAAGGGGAGAGUCGGCUCAAUCUGGUGCAGAGAAAUGUUAAUGUCUUCAAAUUCAUUAUUCCUCAGAUCGUCAAGUACAGUCCUGAUUGCAUCAUAAUUGUGGUUUCCAACCCAGUGGACGUUCUUACAUAUGUUACCUGGAAACUAAGUGGAUUACCCAAACACCGCGUGAUUGGAAGUGGAUGUAAUCUGGAUUCUGCUAGAUUUCGCUACCUUAUGGCUGAAAAACUUGGCAUUCAUCCCAGCAGCUGCCAUGGAUGGAUUUUGGGGGAACAUGGCGACUCAAGUGUGGCUGUGUGGAGUGGCGUGAAUGUGGCAGGUGUUUCUCUCCAGGAAUUGAAUCCAGAAAUGGGAACUGACAAUGAUAGUGAAAAUUGGAAGGAAGUGCAUAAGAUGGUGGUUGAAAGUGCCUAUGAAGUCAUCAAGCUAAAAGGAUAUACCAACUGGGCUAUUGGAUUAAGUGUGGCUGACCUUAUUGAAUCCAUGUUGAAAAAUCUAUCCAGGAUUCAUCCUGUGUCAACAAUGGUAAAGGGGAUGUAUGGCAUCGAGAAUGAAGUCUUCCUGAGCCUUCCGUGUAUCCUCAAUGCCCGAGGAUUAACCAGCGUUAUCAACCAGAAGCUAAAGGAUGAUGAAGUUGCUCAGCUCAAGAAAAGUGCAGAUACCCUGUGGGACAUCCAGAAGGACCUAAAAGACCUGUGACUACUGGGCUCUAGGCUAUAGAAAUUUAAAAACUACAAUGUUAUUAACUCUGAGCCUUUAGUUUUCAUCUGUGUACAUGGAUCGCAGUUUGCUUUGAUCUUCUUCAAUAUGUGAAUUUGGGCUCACAGAAUCAAAGCCUGUGCUUGGUUUAAUGCUUGCAAUAUGAGCUGUUGAACAAAUAAAAUUAACUAUUGUAGUGUGAAAAAAAAAAAAAAAA